GAGCUCGUAGGCGGUUUGUCGCGUCUGCUGUGAAAGCCCGGGGCUCAACCCCGGGUCUGCAGUGGGUACGGGCAGACUAGAGUGCAGUAGGGGAGACUGGAAUUCCUGGUGUAGCGGUGAAAUGCGCAGAUAUCAGGAGGAACACCGAUGGCGAAGGCAGGUCUCUGGGCUGUAACUGACGCUGAGGAGCGAAAGCAUGGGGAGCGAACAGGAUUAGAUACCCUGGUAGUCCAUGCCGUAAACGUUGGGCACUAGGUGUGGGGGACAUUCCACGUUUUCCGCGCCGUAGCUAACGCAUUAAGUGCCCCGCCUGGGGAGUACGGCCGCAAGGCUAAAACUCAAAGGAAUUGACGGGGGCCCGCACAAGCGGCGGAGCAUGCGGAUUAAUUCGAUGCAACGCGAAGAACCUUACCAAGGCUUGACAUGAACCGGUAAGACCUGGAAACAGGUCCCCCACUUGUGGCCGGUUUACAGGUGGUGCAUGGUUGUCGUCAGCUCGUGUCGUGAGAUGUUGGGUUAAGUCCCGCAACGAGCGCAACCCUCGUUCUAUGUUGCCAGCGGGUUAUGCCGGGGACUCAUAGGAGACUGCCGGGGUCAACUCGGAGGAAGGUGGGGACGACGUCAAAUCAUCAUGCCCCUUAUGUCUUGGGCUUCACGCAUGCUACAAUGGCCGGUACAAAGGGUUGCGAUACUGUGAGGUGGAGCUAAUCCCAAAAAGCCGGUCUCAGUUCGGAUUGAGGUCUGCAACUCGACCUCAUGAA
rnacentral:rRNA from 1 species